ACAUCCAGAGAACUUGGCAGAGAUGCCUUGGUGCCUUCGGGACCUCUGAGACAGGUGCUGCAUGGCUGUCGUCAGCUCGUGUUGUGAAAUGUUGGGUUAAGUCCCGNAACGAGCGCAACCCCUAUCCUUUGUUGCCAGCGAUUCGGUCGGGAACUCAAAGGAGACUGCCGGUGAUAAACCGGAGGAAGGUGGGGAUGACGUCAAGUCAUCAUGGCCCUUACGAGUAGGGCUACACACGUGCUACAAUGGCGCAUACAAAGAGAAGCGACCUCGCGAGAGCAAGCGGACCUCAUAAAGUGCGUCGUAGUCCGGAUCGGAGUCUGCAACUCGACUCCGUGAAGUCGGAAUCGCUAGUAAUCGUAGAUCAGAAUGCUACGGUGAAUACGUUCCCGGGCCUUGUACACACCGCCCGUCACACCAUGAGAGUGGGUUGCAAAAGAAGUAGAUAGCUUAACCUUCGGGAGGGCGUUUACCACUUUGUGAUUCAUGACUGGGGUGAAGUCGUAACAAGGUAGGCGUAGACGU
rnacentral:rRNA from 1 species